CACCAGAACUGCAAUUUCAGAUUCGACGAGCAGUACCAGGAACUGCAGAGAAGCUAACAGCAACACCUACUGACUGUCUUGAGCCACUUGCCAAACUUGUUCUCUCAGUCAACUAGAGAAAUCUAAUGAUACAGUCAACUUCAAGAGUCCUUUACUUAAGCAUAAUGAGAUAAGAAAAUAAAUCGUCAGCCACAUGAAACCAUUCAUCCCCCAAAAGCUCUUAUUUUGCCCCUAACCAUUUACAUGCAAAUCACCACCCAAGUUAUUUUAAAUGCAUUGUUAAUUGCUAAUGCUUUAGUGGAAAUAAUUUAUUCCAUGGGAAAAAUGCUUUAAUAUUAAUAUUCUUGUUAAUAACUGGUAUGUCAUCUAAUAGUUAGAGACAUCAGUGACCAUAAACUGCUUUAUGUAAACCUUUUAUUUGAAACUAGUUACCACUGUUCUAUAUUAUUCCCAUCAGCUUUCUUUCCCAUCCUCGUAAAAAUGGCUUAAUUGCAGCUUUCAAAAAAGUAAAAAGUAAAAGUCAUUAAAUCAAGAUUAUAUAAAAAUAAAAAAUACCGUUACUAAGCUACCGAGAAUUGAUCCAUAGGACUUAAUCUUGUACUUUUCCAAAAAAUUGAGUCAGAGAAUCUUUUCCUAGGACGAAUAUUCCACAUGAGAAAACAGGAGAAAGUUGACACUGAACUCCCACAGAGUACCAGUAUAAAACAAUGGCUUUAAGAGUCUGAGUCAGAGUUUCAACAUGAAAGAGGUUUGCUUUAUAGAGGAAACGCCAACCCCAGUUCAUCCAGAUAGACCUGGAACCUGAUGAAAGUCGACACCUUUACUCUGAAAUUUGCAUCGCAUCACUGGCUCCCAGUUCAGAAAUAUAAUCGUUUAGCAGGAAGUAACAAUUUCAGUGACUGCUGCCUCCCGUCAUGAAAAAUAAAAUCUAUAAGAUAAAUGCCGUCUAGGAGCCAUCAGUCCCCAAAUGCUUCCCUUCAAAAGGAAUACCAACGACUCUUUCCUGAAAGCGAGCCAUUUCCCUCGCCUAUGUUUUCUAAACGGUGAACCCGAUGCAAUUUCAACCUGCCCAACGCGCUCACUAGUCCUCCUAGAAAUGCUGAGCGAUGGAGAGCCUCGCACAUUUCUUUAAGGUCAGGAGGGAAGUUGGAAACAGAUGGGGCGCGGGCGGUAAAGUUCUUUCUGCAGCAGCCUCCCGCCUCCCCAUCCCUCCUGAGGUGUACUUCAGAGUAGGCGAGAGCAUCCCGAAAUUUCACUGCCCCCGGACCCCUGGGAGAGAGAGAUGUACCAUCCGCGGGCACCGAGCUGCUCUUCUCUGCAUCUCGCGAUUAAACCUCUCGGCCUGGCCCCGCCAGCUCAGCCUACAAAGCGCUCACCCAGGUAUCUUCUUUUGAAAUAUUCCACUGAGCUAUAGUACAAGCCAUUCCUGGUUUUCUGAUGAUUUUCUUAUUAAUAUGGGCUCAAUAAACAUCCCAUGGCUUACUAGUCCUUUUAUUUUUUAAUUUUAAAUCCUCACUUGAUAUGUUUGGGUUUUUAUUAUUAUUAUUGAUUUGAGAGAGAGAGAGAGGUGAGAAACAUUCAUAAGUUGACUACCUCACUCACCCUGACCAGGGGUCAAACCCACAACCCAGAUACACCAAGAAAAUAUCACCCAGUGACAUGGAAGAAAAUCUACUAGACCUUAGGUUCUGGCUUGGGUUUCUGGACUCAAACUCAAC